CCAGGCCCCGCCCCCGCCCCGCCCCUCCAGUCUCAGUGGACUGGUAGCUGCGGCUCCGGAGGUUCUAGCCCAGGUGAGAACAAACGCGGGCCUGGCCUGGGCUCCGAGGGGUUCCACGCGGGCUGGGCGCCGCCGAACAGCCCCGGCCCGACCCUCCCUACCCCGCUCCCAUCUGCAGCCCCGGGCGGCCCACAGGCAAAGCCAGGACUUGUCCGGGACGUUGCUGGAGAGAUGCGAGCGAGCGUCCGGUGAGCCGCCAGCCCGCUCGGGACAACGCGCUCGCUCGAGUCCGCGGCAGCCCCCGGGGAGACAGGAGGCGCGGGACGCUGAGUGACCAGCCCUGGAGACACGUGCGCUGAGAGUGACACCCUGCGCGCCGUUUACCCAAACCUGUCGUGUUCUCAGCCAACAUUUUACGGAUGGAGAGGACUCCGAGGCCGCGGUCCUCCCAGACACAGCUGGACACGGCUGGAGCCGCAACUGAUAGCUGGGACCUGUCUAGGCUCUCCGGAGUGCUGUGGGUCUGGACUCCUAAGACUAUGCAGGACACUGGACCCUGCAUCCUGGGACCCUCCCGAUGCACACCACAAAGCCAGGCGUACAAAUCUGGCUGCCACCAGGGGCCAAACUGGGGCUCGCUGGGAGGGUUUGGAGGAGACUGGCCUCGAGAUCGAGGAUGGUGAUGGUGCUGUCUGCACCUCCUGAACAUUCAUGCAGGCCCUGGCCAGCACCCGCAGAACAGACCCAGCUCACUCCUUUUUACAGAAGAGACAGAGGUCUGCAGGGUUCAAGCUCACUGCCUGGUCUCUGUGCAGGUGAGAGGCAGGCACAUCCCUGCCUGCCAUCGAUCCUUUGCUCCUCACACAUUAUCAGGCCAGUCUUCCCCAUCUUCUCACUGACAAUCACACCAAAAGUUCAGAAGAAGCUUGGAAACAAAGGUGCAUCCAUAGCUUCAGCACACCAGGAGGCUUCUGCACAGGCUAGCAAGAAGCUGAGCAGAGACAGUCAGGCACUGUAUGGCUGUCACUUACAUGUGAAAAGCAAAAAUGGAAACGCGGUGAAGGACAGGGAAGCCUGGUGUGCUGCAGUCCAUGGGGUCGAAAAGGGUCAGACACGACUGAGCAACUGAACAACAGUAGAAAAAGAGAUGAGGUGAGGGGGCAGGAUUGCAGGAGGGUGAUCGAAAGGGACAGACUUCCAGGUAAUGAUAAAUAACUAGGGAUGUUAUGUUGCUGUUGUUCAGUUACUAAGUCAUGUCUGACUCUUUGUGACCCCAUGAAUUGCAGCACCCCAGUCUUCCCUGUCUUUCACUGUCUCCCGGAGUUUGCUCAAGCUCAUGUCCAUUGAGUCGGUGAUGUAACAUACAGCAUGAUAAAUAUAAUUAAUGCUGCUGUGUGUUUUCUAUGGAAGUCAUUAAGAGACUAGAACCUAAGAGUUCUUAUCACAAAAACCUUUUUUUUCCCUCCUUUUGCUUUUAUUGUAUCCAUAUGAGAUACACACUAAACAUCGCAGUAAUCACUUUACAACAUGUGUAAAUCAAACCAUUAUGUUGUACACCUUAUGCAAUGACAUGUGUCAAUUAUGUCUCAGUAAGACUGGAGAAAAAUAAAGAAACUGGAGAACAGUCAAGAUGCUGUCUUACAGCCUGAGUCAGAUCAUGUCGCUUCUCUGAACACUGAGCGCCUCCCGCCUCCCACCGUCUGCAGUGCCCUGCAGGGUUGGCCUCCAUCCUGACCCCGACCUUUGCUGCUCUCGUCUCACCCUUGCUGACAUCACUGCAGCCACACUGGCCCCCCGUGGCUCCACAGACAUUCCAGAUACGAUCCCACCUCAGGGCCUUUGCAUUUGCUGUUCCUGCUGCCUGUAUUUUCUAGAAUGAAUUUAUAUUACUUCUAUAACCAGAAAAAAAUACGGUUCUGCUGUAGGGUGAUGGCCAAAAAUUCCUCCAGUUCUUAAGUAAAAGUAGAAGACACAUUGUUUUCAUUUUCACCAAGGACUUUAUUGAACAAUAUAUUCACCAUUUUGUCCCACUGCCUUCCGCCAUUUUUCAGACAGCUUCAUAAUUCCAUCUUCCUAAAACUUUUUAUCUUUUUGAGCAAAGAACUGUUCCAGGUGCCUCUUACAAUCUUCCAGGCAAUUGAAAUCUUUUUCCAUUAUGAGAAUUUUGUAAAGACGGAAUAGAUGGACAUCCAAAGGUGCGAUGGCUGGUGAGUACGGAGGAUGAAUCAGAACUUCCCAACAGAGCUGUAACAGUUUUUGACUGGUCGUCAAAAAAGCAUGGGCUCUUGGUUAUCCUGAGGGAAGAUUGCGCAUCUUCUCUCGGCCAGCUCUGGAGGUUUUUCAUCAAGUGCUGCUUUCAGCUGGUCUAACUGGGACUGGUGCUUGUUGGAAUUAAUUGCUUGGUUUUCUGGAAGGCCCUCAUAACAGAGGACUCCCCUCCAAUCCCACCACAUACACGACACGCCUUCUCAGAUGAAGACCGGCGUUGCUGUGUUUGGUGGUGGUUCAUCCCACCUGCCCCCACGAUCUCUUCUGCUCCACAAUAUUGUAUAGCAUCCACUUUUAUCACCCAUCACAGUUUAAAAAUGGAACAUUUUCAAUAUGUUUUGAGUAGAGAAUCACAUGAAGAAAUACGGUCAAGAAGGUUUUUGCUCACCUUGUGUGGAACCCAGACAUCAGUGUGAGAAUGUCACCCAGCUGGUGCAGAUGAUUUUCAGUGCUUGAUGUGGAUAUUUUGAGUAUGGCAGUGUCUCCUGUGUGGUAUGAUGUUGAUUGUUCUCUAUUAAUAUCUUGAUUGGAUUCCUAUCAGCUUUAGCUGGUCUACACGAUGUGGAGCAUUGUCCAGCGAGAAGCCUCCACCACGAGCUUUGCAGACUGCCUUUGACACGUUCCAUCAGUUACAGCACCACCCCCACACUCUGCACAAAUCAGUUUUUGCAUUUCAGUUCCAUUUUUACCUUUCAUGAAAUAACAAAGUAUAGUAUGCCAAAAAUGUUGCUUUUUUUCUUCCAUCUUUGAUAUUAAAAUAGCUACACAAAAAUGUACAAAUUUUGAUGUUUUUUAAUGCAUGCUGGUAUGACAGCCGUCACCACAACCCAUCAGAAUCGCUUCGAAUGAAAUCAGAGACCAUGGAGCCCCACUAGAGCCAUCUCACAGGAAAGCAAAUGGCCAUUUUGGUCAGCCCAGUAUGUCUGAUUGUGCGAUUUAGUGCGUUAUUUUUGAAAUGGCUUUUUAAAGUUGUAUAAAAAUUACUGUUCUCACUGCCCAAAAUAUCAGAAAGUACAAACAAGUAUAAAAAAAGAAAGGACAUUCACAAUCACACCAUUGUUAACAUUUCUUGCUAUAUUACAAAAACGGAAAAUUGAAUUGCUUUGGAGCCUUUUUUUAAAAUGUGACUAAAAGUGCAUGGUGUAAAAUUGCCAUCAGAGCCAUUCAGAUGUGCAGUCUGUGGUGCGAAGUGUGUUCACAUUGUGGGGCAAACAUCAGUACCAUCUAUUUUCAAAGUUUUACUUCUUUCCAAACUGAAACUCUGCCCACAUUGCACCCUGGCUCCGCCUCCUGCCCUCAGCCCCCUGGAAGCCACCAUGGCAUGAACCUGACUGCUUCAGGCCCCUCGUGGGAAGGGAACGACACAGUACCUCUCAUUUAGUGACUGGCUCACCUCACUAGGCAUAAUACCCUUAAGGUUCAUCCAUGUCGUCACGUGUGUCAGAAUUUCCUUCCUCAUCACAGGUGUAUAAUAUUUCAUUGUGUGUAUAGGUCACAUUGUUGUUCUAUUUGUCCAUCA